AUGGGUUUGAAGCUGCUUGAGUCCCAACUUUGUCUCCUGUAGCUAGGAGUUGUCCUAUCGCUUGCCUCAUGCCAGCCACCAACCCCUUCCUAGUAGUUUGAAUUCCGGCAUAUCUAUAAUAGCACCUAUACCCGAUGUGAUGGUGCAAUGAGGGCCAUUAACAGGUAUACAGGAAGCUGUAAGAACAUGAAUACUUUUCUUCAUACAAUUUUUCCUGAUGUUCCUGGUGAUGUGGCAAGCCAAAUACCAUCUGCAGAGAUGGGAUAAGUAGAAAUUGUUAUGAUAGUUCAUCUCACGUACCUGUAACUAUUGGCACCCACACAACUUCAGCAAGAAAUGAUAAGAAAUGUAGAUACCAAACAGUAGGAGCAAGAAAGUACUACACAGUUGCCUGGAACUCAGACAGUCCCACCAAUCCAGUGGUUCUGAUUCACUUGCAUGGGACACUUU
rnacentral:lncRNA from 1 species